CCUGAAGUGAGUUCCCAGUCCCAAAAGAAUCCUGGCCAUGGAGUUCCACAAAAGAAUGGGCCUCCUCAAGCUGUUAACAGAUAACCGAAGUAGGCUGGAGGUGAAAUAGACACAACUUGCUUCCUGAGUGGCUUAUUAAAAUACACACAUACAUUCGUGCAUGCAGACCUACCUACAACAUGAUACCUAAAAUUGAGAGAUGGAAACUAAUGUAAUGAAUCCACGGUUGAUACGAUUAGUAAUCUGCCCACAUGCACACAGCCAGCCGGUUUGUCCAGGAGCCUGCACUGGAUCCCUCACUCCUUUCCUAAACCUGCGUGAAACACUGUUGCGCAGGAACCACAAUCGUGGACGGGUUAGACGGAAGAUCCCUGUGUACUCUCACAGACUUCGCUGAAAGCAAGGCAUCUGUGGACUUCUAGAAGUACGAAGAACAAAAAUUCGGGGCAUUCUGCCAAGAGAGGCAGCCAAGCCACGAAGAGAGGGCCAGGGCAGGUAGAUGUGCAGAGAGAAGUGAGAAGACCACCCA
rnacentral:lncRNA from 1 species